AUUGAACGCUGGCGGCAGGCCUAACACAUGCAAGUCGAGCGAGCGGCGGACGGGUGAGUAAUGUCUGGGAAACUGCCUGAUGGAGGGGGGUAACUACUGGAAACGGUAGCUACAACCGCAUACCCUCAGAUGUGCCCAGAUGGGAUUAGCUCGUAGGUGGGGGAACGCCUCACCUAGGGGACGCUCCCUAGCUGUUCUGAGAGGAUGACCAGCAACACGGGAACGGAGACACGGUCCAGACUCCGACGGGAGGCAGCAGUGGGGAAUAGUGCACAAUGGGCGCAAGCCUGAUGCAGCCAUGCCGCGUGUGUGAAGAAGGCCUUCGGGUUGUAAAGCACUUUCAGCGGGGAGGCGUUACCCGCAGAAGAAGCAACGGCUAACUCCGUGCCAGCAGCCGCGGUAAUAC
rnacentral:rRNA from 1 species